rnacentral:miRNA from 1 species
UAGAGUGACCAGCCAUCCUGGUUUGCCUGGGACUGAAGGUUUCCCACAUCCUAAAACCAGGACAGUCUCAGACAAAC